rnacentral:rRNA from 1 species
UACAUAGGGAGCAAGCGUUAUCCGGAAUUAUUGGGUGUAAAGGGUGCGUAGACGGGAAAAUAAGUUAGUUGUGAAAUCCCUCGGCUUAACUGAGGAACUGCAACUAAAACUGUUAUUCUUGAGUGCGGGAGAGGAAAGCGGAAUUCCUAGUGUAGCGGUGAAAUGCGUAGAUAUUAGGAGGAACACCAGUGGCGAAGGCGGCUUUCUGGACCGUAACUGACGUUGAGGCACGAAAGUGUGGGGAGCAAAC